UACGACUGGCGCAAGCGUUGUUCGGAAUAACUGGGCUUAAAGCGUACGCAGGCGGAUCAGCAAGUCAGGAGUGAAAUCCCUGGGCUCAACCCAGGAACUGCUCUUGAAACUAUUGAUCUAGAAUCCGGGAGAGGAUGGGAGAAUUCCUAGUGUAGAGGUGAAAUUCGCAGAUAUUAGGAGGAAUACCAGUGGCGUAGGCGCCUAUCUGGACCGGUAUUGAUGCUCUGGCACGAAAGCUUGGGGAGCAAACAGG
rnacentral:rRNA from 1 species